rnacentral:rRNA from 1 species
GUGGGGAAUAUUGCGCAAUGGGGGAAACCCUGACGCAGCAAUACCGCGUGAGUGAAGAAGGUUUUCGGAUCGUAAAACUCUUUUAUUGGGGAAGAAGAAGUGACGGUACCCAAUGAAGAAGUCCCGGCUAACUACGUGCCAGCAGCCGCGGUAAUACGUAGGGGACAAGCGUUGUCCGGAAUCACUGGGCGUAAAGGGCGCGUAGGCGGUUUUAUAAGUCAGAUGUGAAAGGUACCGGCUCAACCGGUGACGUGCAUUUGAAACUGUAAGACUUGAGUACUGGAGAGGCAAGUGGAAUUCCUAGUGUAGCGGUGAAAUGCGUAGAUAUUAGGAGGAACACCGGUGGCGAAGGCGGCUUGCUGGACAGAUACUGACGCUCAUGUGCGAAAGCUAGGGCAGCGAACGGGAUUAGAUACCCGUGUAGUCC